UGAGAUCAGGACCUGAACCAAAACCAAGUGUUAGACAUUCCUCAACUGACGGAGCCAACCAGGCACUCCUAAUCUCUAACUUUUCAUACCAGCUUUCUCAAGACCAGGAAGAACCCCAUCCAGGCCCAUUCUAGUCUUGGCUAUUAACAGGCAUCAAACCAAGGUGUAUGAUAUGAUUCUCUGGUUCAUCUUCAUUUUCGAAUUCAAGAAAUAAUUAUUGAGAAGGUACUGUGGAGAAAACACAGUAUUAGGUAAACAAGAGAUAUAAAGAGGCCAGACUGAACAGAAAAAUUCUUCUACUCCUUCAGUAAUAUGAAUGGUAUGAUAGCUGCAGAAAAUGGCAAAAGCAGUGGCUCUCUAUACAAG